rnacentral:lncRNA from 1 species
AUACAUGUAUAGUGUGUGAUAACAUUGUGUGAGGGAAUUCGACGUUUGAUGUACCACUGUUCACUCCAGUGCAAUUUAUGACAAUACCACUGCAUCAAUCAGAAUUAUUUUUUUUGCAGUGUUUUAAGAAAUGAUUUUGCUUUGUUGUCGCGUAUUAUUUGUGAAACAUUCAAUGUUUUAAAAAGGCGAAUUUUCUUUAUAAAGUCAGUGAUUAUGUUGACUUUUGAAGGCCAAACUUUCUACAGCCUUAAAUACGCUAAUGAAAGAUCCAAAAACUAUACCAAUACAUAACGACAUGAUUAUGAAAUUAUAACAAAUCUAUUGGUUAACAAAUUUUUACUCGUUAUUGCAAAAUAAUGAACUUAAUAUAUCUGACAUUUUCUCCCUACCCAGUUUACCCCUAUACAUUUUUAUGAUGUGGACUGGUCAUUGUUAUUGAAUCGUAGGCAAUUUGAUUGGAUUAAGUUGUUAUUAGUUUACCUUCAAACCUGUUUAUGCUUUUCAUACAUGACUAUUGAUUAAUCAGAACGUGCAUGAAUGUGACCGGUAACUGAAAUGACCUUCAAACUGGACACUGGACGAGUCAAUAUUAUGUUUUAUCAAUGAAAGUUAAGGUAUGAAAGGUAAGAAUUGCCACUUAUUCGAUUUUCACAAAAUUUUCGGAAUAUAC